CCAUGGGCACCUAGGGUCUAUUCUAUGUCUUGGCUCUUAUGACCAGUGUUGUGGUGAGUAUGGGGCAAGAGAUGUGUGACACAUGACUUCCUGACUUCUACAUUUGUUAUGGUGAUGAGAUUGCUGGAUCCUAGAUAGGUCCUCCAAGUGGACCUUCUCAGUGGACAAUGACCUGUCUGUCCAUCCAUCUCUUUGAACCUGCAUUAUCAUCAUAUCAGAUCUGUCUUUGAUUCUUACAUAAAUUCUUUGAUUUUUAUAUGUGAGCCUCUCUCUCUUACAGAAUUACACAUAUAACUACAAAAAUUAAAUCAUAUUUUAUAAAGGUUGGCCUCAUGUAUUUUAACUUUUCAUUGUGUAGCUGUCUAUUAUCUAUCUAUCUAUCUAUCUAUCUAUCUAUCUAUCUAUCUUUUAAAGAGAAGAUCUCAGAUAAUCCAGGCUGGUGUGGAACUCUCUUUGUAGAUAAGUGUCAUGGUUUGAAUAAAAACAUCCCUCAUACAUAGAAGUGUUUGGAUUGUUGGUCUCCAGUUGGUUGUAGUGUUGGGGUAGGUUUGGGACACAUGUCCUUAAUGAAGUGUGUCACUGGGGUGGGAUUUGAUGCUUCAAAGCAUGGCAUCACUUCCAGCCUGCUCUCUCUGUUCCUGCUUGUGCUUGAGGCCUAAGCUCUCAGCUUCCUGCUGCUCUAGGUACUGGGUUUCAGCUCUAUCAUUCUGGAAUCCUGGGUGCAAUCCUCAGUCUGUAAAACAAAACAAGAACAGGCAAAAUAGACAGCUUUAGCAACUUAAAUAAUUUUUCAUUUAAUAUAUUCAGAAUUUAUCAAUAUUUUUUUUCUCCCAGUGAGAAUUGAAAAAUCAACUAUGACUCAAAUUGGAUUAAACUGUUUUUGUGUGCCCUGUGAAUAUUUCUAUUUAAUGUAAUUUUAUAUUAAAUGCUUAUAUUUCAUUUAAAAUAUCAAAUAGUACUUUGUGGUGAGUAAAAAUUGUGAGAAUCUCAAUUUUCUGUAUCUAUUAAUAAAGUUUUAUAGGAACAU
rnacentral:lncRNA from 1 species